rnacentral:rRNA from 1 species
UACGAGGGGGGGCAAGCGUUGUUCGGAAUGACUGGGCGUAAAGGGCGCGUAGGCGGACAUCUUUGUCGGGCGUGAAAUUCCAGGGCUUAACCUUGGGGCUGCGUUCGAGACGGGGUGUCUUGAGUGGGGAAGAGGGUCGUGGAAUUCCCAGUGUAGAGGUGAAAUUCGUAGAUAUUGGGAAGAACACCGGUGGCGAAGGCGGCUCACUGGCCCGUACU